UACGUAGGGUGCAAGCGUUAAUCGGAAUACUGGGCGUAAAGCGUGCGCAGGCGGCUUUGCAAGACAGAUGUGAAAUCCCCGGGCUUAACCUGGGAACUGCAUUUGUGACUGCAUGGCUGAAGUGCGGCAGAGGGGAUGGAAUUCCGCGUGUAGCAGUGAAAUGCGUAGAUAUCAAGAGGAACACCUGCGGCGAAGGCGGGUUGCUGGCUGACACUGACGCUGAGGCGCGAAAGCUAGGGGAGCGAACGGG
rnacentral:rRNA from 1 species